GUCAUAGUUUAGUAAGGUGUCAAAAAUCAUCAAAAAAUGUCAUAGUAUAGUAAGGUGUCAAAAAAUGUCAAAAAAUGUCAGUAUAGUAAGACAUCCAAAAAUGUCAAAAAAUGUCAUAGUAUAGUAAGGCAUCAAAAAUGGUCAAAAAAGAUCAUAGUAUAGUAAGGCAUCAAAAAAUGGUCAAAAAAGAUCAUAGUAUAGUAAGGCAUCAAAAAAUGUCAUAGUAUAGUAAGGCAUCAAAAAUCAUUAAAAAAUGUCAUAGUAUAGUAAGGCAUCAAAAAUCAUUAAAAAAUGUCAGUUUAGUAAGGCAUCAAAAAUCAUCAAAAAAUGUCAUAGUAUAGUAAGGUGUCAAAAAUCAUCAAAAAAUGUCAUAGUAUAGUAAGGUGUCAAAAAAUGUCAAAAAAUGUCAUAGUUUAGUAAGGUGUCAAAAAAUGUCAAAAAAUGUCAUAGUAUAGUAAGGUGUCAAAAAAUGUCAAAAAAUGUCAUAGUAUAGUAAGACAUCCAAAAAUGUCAAAAAAGGUCAUAGUAUAGUAAGACAUCCAAAAAUGGUCAAAAAAGAUCAUACUAUAGUAAGGCAUCAAAAAAUGUCAAAAAAUGUCAUAGUAUAGUAAGGCAUCAAAAAUGGUCAAAAAAGGUCAUAGUAUAGUAAGGUGUCAAAAAAUGUCAUAGUUUAGUAAGGUGUCAAAAAUCAUCAAAAAAUGUCAUAGUAUAGUAAGGCAUCAAAAAUGGUCAAAAAAUAUCAUAGUAUAGUAAGGCAUCAAAAAAUGUCAAAAAAUGUCAUAGUAUAGUAAGGCAUCAAAAAUCAUUAAAAAAUGUCAUAGUAUAGUAAGGCAUCAAAAAUCAUUAAAAAAAUGUCAUAGUAUAGUAAGGCAUCAAAAAAUGUCAUAGUAUAGUAAGACAUCAAAAAUGGUCAAAAAAAGAUCAUAGUAUAGUAAGGCAUCAAAAAUCAUUAAAAAAUGUCAUAGUAUAGUAAGGUGUCAAAAAUAA